GGCCUCCGUUGUUCUUGCUAAAGGUUCAAAUGUCUUGUGCAAAUAUUUGGAAUUAUUCUAGCUAGCUGCCGUUCACGUUGCCACGGUUGUCCUAUUAUAAGGCUUUGAUGUUACGAUUGUAUUGCUGUUAUCACUAUUUUUGCUCUGCUGUUGCUGUAGUUUAGACUUAUCGUUAAACCUUAAGUCAUAGUGUUUUAAGCUAUUUAAACUAUUUUCACGUUGUUGUUGUUUUUACAAUUGCUAGUAAAAUUGCGAAUGACUAAGUUUAUGGAACACAUCAAAAAUGAAUUUGGACAAUCAACUGACAUUUCAUAAUGGCAUUAAUAACGACAGAAAUAAGAGCUUAUGGUGGCAUUUGCAGUAUCGACAAUAAUAUAUGUAUAAAUAAAUGACGAGAAAUUCACGAAAAGCAUUUGGAAAACAUUAAAAGCGAGAAAAUAAAUAGUUGAUAAAAGAUUGCGGAAGCUUCAGUAAAUUUGUCAAUCGGAGAAAAAACGUAGCAUAGACAAGGCGUGUACUUCAGGAUUUCUUUGUCGCUUAUGUUCAGAAAUACAUUGCAUUGUUAUUCACAUAUACGGGGAUCAAGGACAGCGCCUUUGUCUGCUGGAGAAACUAAACGGCUGCUUGCCAAUUACGAUUUCACCAACAGAUCCGCUAUCUAAAAUAACGAAUAGUAGCCACACCUCAAGGGAGCUGGUUGUGCAGUGAUUAUUCUAGUGGGUCAACAAAGGCGUUUUGAAGUUUUGGAGUUAUGUUAUCACAUCUUAAGGGUGCAGCGUGCUGAUGGCAGAGGUGAAGCUGUCAAAGGAAUUCUAUUUGUCCAACGACUUUUCAAAAGGAGUGUUUUUAUGGGAAGUGGUCGAAGAAGUUGUCCGAUACAUUCGCCCAAAUACGGGUGACAUGGGGUGUAGAAGAGAAUUGUUAAGCGAAGCAAGUAUUUUCUUAUUAACUUGAUGGCGAUGAUGGCGAUGAUGACGAUGAUGAUAAAAUAAUUCAUUAAGUAUUAACAAAAAUGCACUUUCAGAUUCCGCGUAAGAAGAGUAAUAAUUCAUUCACCAGCUAACUGUUUACCAAGUGUACACGUCAUCAAAAAAGUACAAAACAUUUGGGGUACCCGCGAGUAAAUUCGUUAUGAGCAAUAAAUAGUGACAAUUUGUUGGUUUAGAGGAAAACUCAAAUAUAUUCGUAAACUUCAAGAUGUUGGGAAAUGUUUUGAGGCCAAGUCGAAAUAAGGGGAGUAAAUUAAAUUUUAUAAAAAAAACGCAAAUGAUAUAGGAGGAAUUAAUUCACCAGGGCGUGUAAUAAUCAUUUUAACACCUUG